CCUACGGGUGGCUGCAGUGGGGAAUAUUGGACAAUGGGGGGAACCCUGAUCCAGCCAUGCCGCGUGUGUGAAGAAGGCCCUCGGGUUGUAAAGCACUUUCAGUGAGGAAGAACGCCUGGUGGUUAAUACCCAUCAGGAAAGACAUCACUCACAGAAGAAGCACCGGCUAACUCCGUGCCAGCAGCCGCGGUAAUACGGAGGGUGCGAGCGUUAAUCGGAAUUACUGGGCGUAAAGCGCGCGUAGGUGGCUUGAUAAGCCGGUUGUGAAAGCCCCGGGCUCAACCUGGGAACGGCAUCCGGAACUGUCAAGCUAGAGUGCAGGAGAGGAAGGUAGAACUCCCGGUGUAGCGGUGAAAUGCGUAGAGAUCGGGAGGAAUACCAGUGGCGAAGGCGGCCUUCUGGACUGACACUGACACUGAGGUGCGAAAGCGUGGGUAGCAAACAGGAUUAGAUACCCGAGUAGUC
rnacentral:rRNA from 1 species